rnacentral:rRNA from 1 species
GACGAACGCUGGCGGCGUGCUUAACACAUGCAAGUCGAACGGUAAGGCCCUUCGGGGUACACGAGUGGCGAACGGGUGAGUAACACGUGGGUGAUCUGCCCUGCACUUCGGGAUAAGCCUGGGAAACUGGGUCUAAUACCGGAUAGGACCACUGCCUGCAUGGGUGGUGGUGGAAAGCUUUUGCGGUGUGGGAUGGGCCCGCGGCCUAUCGGCUUGUUGGUGGGGUGAUGGCCUACCAAGGCGACGACGGGUAGCCGGCCUGAGAGGAUGGCCAGCCAGACUGGGACUGAGACACGGCCCAGACUCCUACGGGAGGCAGCAGUUAGGAAUUUUGCGCAAUGGGGGAAACCCUGACGCAGCCACGCCGCGUGCGGGAUGAAGGCCUUCGGGUCGUAAACCGCUUUUGUCGAGGAAGACACCCGACGGUACUCGGCGAAUAAGCAACGGCUAACUACGUGCCAGCCGCCGCAGUAA